CAGUCGCCGCGGUAAUACGAAGGGGGCUAGCGUUGUUCGGAAUCACUGGGCGUAAAGCGCACGUAGGCGGAUUUUUAAGUCAGGGGUGAAAUCCCGAGGCUCAACCUCGGAACUGCCUUUGAUACUGGAAAUCUUGAGUCCGGGAGAGGUGAGUGGAACUGCGAGUGUAGAGGUGAAAUUCGUAGAUAUUCGCAAGAACACCAGUGGCGAAGGCGGCUCACUGGCCUGGAACUGACGCUGAGGUGCGAAAGCGUGGGGAGCAAACAGGAUUAGAUACCCCCGUAGUCCCUGUCUCUUAUAU
rnacentral:rRNA from 1 species